UCGUCUAGUCAGGGAAGCGAAAUUUCAGUAACAAAAUGCUACUUUAACAAGCGAAUUUAUCACUGAUAUUUGACGAAAGGAUACGGUCCAAUUCGUAACUGUGAGUAUCCGUUGUUAUUAAUAUGGGCGUCGGCUCAUCCUGGCAACAGGAACGACCAUAAAGAAGCGUCGAGAGAUAUCGGAAGAGUUUUCUUUUCUGUUUUAUAGCAUACUACCAUGGAAGUCUUUCGCAGAGAGAUAUGGUAGAUGGGCUCGAUAUUUUCUCCUCGGACCUUGAAAAUUUAUGGUGGGGACACGCAAACUUCUCAACAGGCCGUACCAAUAUCCGCAGCUGGUAUCCAAGGUGAAGAGUCUCUAGUCGAUAGAAUAAUGUAGGUAAGGGAAGUCGGCAAAUUGGAUCCGUAACUUCGGGAUAAGGAUUGGCUCUGAAGAUUGAGAUAGUCGGGCUUGAUUGGGAAACAAUAACAUGGUUUAUGUGCUCGUUCUGGGUAAAUAGAGUUUCUAGCAUUUAUGUUAGUUACGUGUUCCCCGGAUAGUUUAGUUACGUAGCCAAUUGUGGAACUUUCUUGCUAAAAUUUUUAAGAAUACUAUUUGGGUUAAACCAAUUAGUUCUUAUCAAUUAUAACGAUUAUCAAUUAACAAUCAAUUCAGAACUGGCACGGACUUGGGGAAUCCGACUGUCUAAUUAAAACAAAGCAUUGUGAUGGCCCUAGCGGGUGUUGACACAAUGUGAUUUCUGCCCAGUGCUCUGAAUGUCAAAGUGAAGAAAUUCAAGUAAGCGCGGGUCAACGGCGGGAGUCAAUGCCUCGUCAUCUAAUUAGUGACGCGCAUGAAUGUAUUAACGAGAUUCCUACUGUCCCUAUCUACUAUCUAGCGAAACCACAGCCAAGGGAACGGGCUUGGAAUAAUUAGCGGGGAAAGAAGACCCUUUUGAGGUUGACUCUAAUCUGGCAGUGUAAGGAGACAUAAGAGGUGUAGAAUAAGUGGGAGAUAUUAGACCUCGGUUUGGUAUCGUCAAUGAAAUACCACUACUCUUAUUGUUUCCUUACUUACUUGAUUAAAUGGAACGUGUAUCAUUUCCUAGCCAUUAUACGGAUAUAUUUAUUAUAUCUUAUGGUAUUGGGUUUUGAUGCAAGCUUCUUGAUCAAAGUAUCACGAGUUUGUUAUAUAAUCGCAAACAAAUUCUUUAAUAAAACGAUGCAUUUAUGUAUUUUUGAUUUGAAAAUUUGGUAUAACUCCAAUUACUCAGGUAUGAUCCAAUUCAAGGACAUUGCCAGGUAGGGAGUUUGACUGGGGCGGUACAUCUCUCAAAUAAUAACGGAGGUGUCCCAAGGCCAGCUCAGUGCGGACAGAAACCACACAUAGAGCAAAAGGGCAAAUGCUGACUUGAUCUCGGUGUUCAGUACACACAGGGACAGCAAAAGCUCGGCCUAUCGAUCCUUUUGGUUUAAAGAGUUUUUAACAAGAGCAAACGGAAUAUUAGUGCGUUUGUCUUUUUUUUUUGG
rnacentral:rRNA from 1 species